rnacentral:rRNA from 1 species
GACGAACGCUGGCGGCGUGCCUAAAACAUGCAAGUCGAACGAGGUCCAUCCGACCGUAAGGUCGGUGAAGACCUAGUGGCGAACGGGUGAGUAACACGUGAGGAACCUGCCCCGAAGUCCGGGAUAAGCUGGGGAAACCUGGUCUAAUACCGGAUCGCCUCUGCGGAUCGCAUGUUCUGCAGAGGAAAGAUUCAUCGCUUCGGGAGGGCCUCGCGGCCUAUCAGCUUGUUGGUGGGGUAACGGCCCACCAAGGCAUCGACGGGUAGCUGGUCUGAGAGGACGAUCAGCCACACUGGGACUGAGACACGGCCCAGACUCCUACGGGAGGCAGCAGUUAGGAAUCUUGCGCAAUGGGCGAAAGCCUGACGCAGCAACGCCGCGUGCGGGAGGAAGGCCCUCGGGUUGUAAACCGCUUUCAGUAGGGACGAACUCAGACGGUACCUACAGAAGAAGCCCCGGCCAACUACGUGCCAGCCGCCGCAGUAACAC